rnacentral:rRNA from 1 species
UACGGAGGGUGCGAGCGUUGUCCGGAAUCACUGGGCGUAAAGGGCGCGUAGGCGGCUGGGGAAGUCGGUGGUGAAAGCUCGUGGCUCAACUGUGGGCUUGCAGCCGAUACGGGCGGGCUGGGAUUCGGUAGGGGAGACUGGAAUUCCUGGUGUAGCGGUGAAAUGCGCAGAUAUCAGGAGGAACACCGGUGGCGAAGGCGGGUCUCUGGGCCGAUAUCGACGCUGAGGAGCGAAAGCGUGGGGAGCGAACAGG